UGGAAUGUGCCUCUUUGCUGUUUCCACAGCC
rnacentral:piRNA from 1 species